rnacentral:rRNA from 1 species
UACGUAGGGGGCAAGCGUUGUCCGGAAUCAUUGGGCGUAAAGAGCGCGUAGGCGGUCCGGUAAGUCCGCUCUGAAAGUCCGGGGCUCAACCCCGGGAGGCGGGCGGAUACUGUCGGGCUAGAGUCCGGAAGAGGCGAGUGGAAUUCCUGGUGUAGCGGUGAAAUGCGCAGAUAUCGGGAGGAACACCAAUGGCGAAGGCAGCUCGCUGGGACGGUACUGACGCUGAGGCGCGAAAGCGUGGGGAGCAAACAGG